GGGCCGUUAGCUCAGUUGGUAGAGCACCGGACUUUUAAUCCGGGUGUCGCUGGUUCGAGCCCAGCACGGCUCACCA
rnacentral:tRNA from 1 species